UUUUUGAUUCCGCUUUCUUGCUUCCUGUUUGGGUUUAUACUUUCUGUCAUUGAAGGAGACUCUCUUUCAGUGUGCCUCCUAUGCAUUUACUCCUCCUUGUGUGUCUCACAUUUGCACUUCUUCUUUCAAUCACAUCACCAAAGCUAAACUGACUGAUUUAGAUUACUCAGAGGGAAAGGACACACAAACAAACCUUAGUGUUUUAUUAUAUAGUAGAUUAUUAUAGUAACGGCUAACUAGUGGUGCUGUGGCAACUGUUAUUUAAAUACAUGUCAGGGAAACCAGCUGAGUACAACAAGAACCAUGCAACAUUCAUAAGCACUUUGUGAUUUGCAUAGGCACCAUGUGAAAAAAAAGUACAAAAUAUUAAUAAAAAUGUAGGGGAGCACAAUGCCAGCAUGUGUGGCUUGUAACAGUUUAAGCUCCUUUUCGUGGCUGCUUUUGUGGCUUGCUGUCCUGACGAGGCUCACAAGGAAUCUGCGUCAGUUAGCAAAACCACAACAGGGUGAGAAUAGUUAGCAAAGUGAAAGAGCAGGCAGACAGCACAUGUAGGCUCACCCGGAAAAAGAGGCUCCUGUGUUCUUUAGUAUGAAGGUCUUAGCAUUAAACAACAGUCAGGGAUCUCAGGUUUAUGAGUGAAUGGGACAGAAUCGAAUGCAAAAUUAUAUUUUCAGGGCACUGGAAAAGCA